GAUGAACGCUAGCGACAGGCUUAACACAUGCAAGUCGAGGGGGCAGCGAGAAAGUGCUUGCACUUUUGUCGGCGACCGGCGCACGGGUGAGUAACACGUAUGCAACCUGCCCUUGUCAGGGGGAUAAGGCCGGGGGAAACCCCGUCUAAUACCGCAUAUAUGGUUUGGAGGCAUCUCUAAAUCAGGAAAGAAUUAUCGCACAAAGAUGGGCUCGCGUCUGAUUAGGUAGUUGGUGAGGUAACGGCUCACCAAGCCGACGAUCAGUAGCCGGACUGAGAGGUUGAACGGCCACAUUGGAACUGAGAAACGGUCCAGACUCCUACGGGAGGCAGCAGUGGGGAAUAUUGGGCAAUGGGCGAAAGCCUGACCCAGCGACGCCGCGUGAGGGAAGAAGAUCUUCGGAUUGUAAACCUUUGUUGAUAGGGACGAAGAAAGUGACGGUACCUAUCGAGGAAGCCACGGCUAACUACGUG
rnacentral:rRNA from 1 species